AACGAACGCUGGCGGCAGGCUUAACACAUGCAAGUCGAGCGCCUCGCAAGAGGAGCGGCAGACGGGUGAGUAACGCGUGGGGAUCUGCCUAGUGGUACGGGACAACUCAGGGAAACUUGAGCUAAUACCGUAUAAGUCCUUCGGGAGAAAGAUUUAUCGCCAUUAGAUGAACCCGCGUCUGAUUAGCUAGUUGGUGAGGUAAUGGCUCACCAAGGCGACGAUCAGUAGCUGGUCUGAGAGGAUGAUCAGCCACACUGGGACUGAGACACGGCCCAGACUCCUACGGGAGGCAGCAGUGGGGAAUAUUGGACAAUGGGCGCAAGCCUGAUCCAGCCAUGCCGCGUGAGUGAUGAAGGCCUUAGGGUUGUAAAGCUCUUUCGUUGGGGAAGAUAAUGACGGUACCCAAAGAAGAAGCCCCGGCUAACUUCGUGCCAGCCGCCGCGGUAAAAC
rnacentral:rRNA from 1 species